GAUGAACGCUGGCGGCGUGCCUAAUACAUGCAAGUCGAGCGAACAGACGAGGAGCUUGCUCCUCUGACGUUAGCGGCGGACGGGUGAGUAACACGUGGAUAACCUACCUAUAAGACUGGGAUAACUUCGGGAAACCGGAGCUAAUACCGGAUAAUAUAUUGAACCGCAUGGUUCAGUAGUGAAAGACGGUUUUGCUGUCACUUAUAGAUGGAUCCGCGCCGCAUUAGCUAGUUGGUAAGGUAACGGCUUACCAAGGCAACGAUGCGUAGCCGACCUGAGAGGGUGAUCGGUCACACUGGAACUGAGACACGGUCCAGACUCCUACGGGAGGCAGCAGUAGGGAAUCUUCCGCAAUGGGCGAAAGCCUGACGGAGCAACGCCGCGUGAGUGAUGAAGGUCUUCGGAUCGUAAAACUCUGUUAUUAGGGAAGAACAAAUGUGUAAGUAACUAUGCACGUCUUGACGGUACCUAAUCAGAAAGCCACGGCUAACUACGUG
rnacentral:rRNA from 1 species